GGCACGCGUGUUACCCUGAACCGGUUGAUAAUGCACCAGAUUCAUCGUUAUAUUGUGUUCAACUCUGAAGAGUUUCACAAUUUGCGGACGAUGCACAAAGACGCGCUUAGGCGAUCAUGCACUAGAGGUCGCAUUACGGAGGCUCUUAUUGAAGCAGAACAUCAUGAGCAGUUCUGCGAAUGGUACCCUGCAUAUGUCGAUGGCCUUGACGAUCAACGUAGGGAGGAAUUGGGUCAC